rnacentral:tRNA from 17 species
AGGGGUAUAGCCAAGUUGGUAAGGCACUGGAUUCUGAUUCCAGCAUUCGUAGGUUCGAGUCCUGCUACCCCUGCCA